UUGAGGAUUCAAUUGAAGAUGAUAUGGUAAAAGAUGACGAAAGCUGCAAACUUCAAGUGAAGUUCGCAUCAUGUUUGAUCACGCUAAGAACUCUGGGAAAAUUUCUGGGUUUUCUCGUGUUUUCUCCUUAUCACAACAGUUCAGGUUUACCAACAGCGGUGAUGGAAACGGUAAUAAAAGCCAGAAAUCAGAUUUCACAGCAGAUAGACCUAAUGUGUUACUU